rnacentral:rRNA from 1 species
UCCUACGGGAGGCAGCAGUGGGGAAUCUUGGACAAUGGGCGCAAGCCUGAUCCAGCCAUGCCGCGUGAGUGAUGAAGGCCUUAGGGUCGUAAAGCUCUUUCGCCAGGGAUGAUAAUGACAGUACCUGGUAAAGAAACCCCGGCUAACUCCGUGCCAGCAGCCGCGGUAAUACGGAGGGGGUUAGCGUUGUUCGGAAUUACUGGGCGUAAAGCGCACGUAGGCGGAUUGGAAGGUUGGGGGUGAAAUCCCGGGGCUCAACCCCGGAACUGCCUCCAAAACUCCCAGUCUAGAGUUCGAGAGAGGUGAGUGGAAUUCCGAGUGUAGAGGUGAAAUUCGUAGAUAUUCGGAGGAACACCAGUGGCGAAGGCGGCUCACUGGCUCGAUACUGACGCUGAGGUGCGAAAGUGUGGGGAGCAAACAGGAUUAGAUACCCUGGUAGUCCACACCGUAAACGAUGAAUGCCAGUCGUCAGCAAGCAUGCUUGUUGGUGACACACCUAACGGAUUAAGCAUUCCGCCUGGGGAGUACGGUCGCAAGAUUAAAACUCAAAUGAAUUGACGGA